rnacentral:rRNA from 1 species
CCUACGGGAGGCAGCAGUGAGGAAUAUUGGUCAAUGGGCGCGAGCCUGAACCAGCCAAGUAGCGUGAAGGAUGACUGCCCUACGGGUUGUAAACUUCUUUUAUAAAGGAAUAAAGUGAGGCACGUGUGCGUUUUUGCAUGUACGUUAUGAAUAAGGAUCGGCUAACUCCGUGCCAGCAGCCGCGGUAAUACGGAGGAUCCGAGCGUUAUCCGGAUUUAUUGGGGUUAAAGGGAGCGUAGCUGGGUUGUUAAGUCAGUUGUGAAAGUUUGCGGCUCAACCGUCAAAUUGCAAUUGAUACUGGCAGUCUUGAGUACAGUUGAGGUAGGCGGAAUUCGUGGUGUAGCGG